GUGGGGAAUAUUGGGCAAUGGGCGCAAGCCUGACCCAGCAACGCCGCGUGAAGGAAGAAGGUCUUCGGAUUGUAAACUUUUGUCUUAUGGGACGAUAAUGACGGUACCAUAGGAGGAAGCCACGACUAACUACGUGCCAGCAGUCGCGGUAAUACGUAGGUGGCAAGCGUUAUCCGGAAUUAUUGGGUGUAAAGGGUGCGUAGGCGGGAUGUAAAGUCAGAUGUGAAAUGCCGCAGCUUAACUGCGGAGCUGCAUUUGAAACUUACGUUCUUGAGUGAAGUAGAGGUAAGCGGAAUUCCUAGUGUAGCGGUGAAAUGCGUAGAUAUUAGGAGGAACACCGGUGGCGAAGGCGGCUUACUGGGCUUAAACUGACGCUGAGGCACGAAAGUGUGGGGAGCAAACAGG
rnacentral:rRNA from 1 species